AGUUUAAUAGUGUCAUCCAAAAUUCACUUCGUUUUCCAACACCCACAUUUCUUUUCUUUUCUUUUUUCUUCUUCUUUUUUUUUUUUUUUUUUUUUUUUUUUUUUUUUUUUUUUUUUGUGGGUGGCAGGGGAGGCACACCUGUGGCACAUGGAAGUUCCCAAGCUAGGGGUUAAAUCAGAGCUGCUGCAGCUGCCAGCCUACACCAUAGCCACAGCAACAUCAGAUUCGAGCCUCAUCUGUAAGCCCUACUGCAGCUCUUGGCAAUACCGGAUCCUUAACCAACUGAGCGAGGCCAGGAAUUGAACCCUCAUCCUUAUGGAUACUAAUCAGUUCUUAACCCAGUGAACCACAACGAGGCUCCUACCUGUAUUCUUUUUGCUGCAAUUCUUCCUGUGUCAAAUAUCCCUAUACUGACCCAUACGCUCUUUCCAGUUUCAAUUUUCAUUGUUCUCAUCCUUCCAUAAGAAUAGGUAAGGGUCUGUUUUAUGUAAUUGUAUCUAGUUUUAUGCAAUUGUUCCUAGUUAUAUCCAUAUGUGCAUUGUUGUGGUAUGAGGGUGUUUAAUUAUGUGCAAAUACAAAAUCGUUUCCGUAUGUCAGUAUCCAUACAUAUGCCAACAAAUGGAUACGUGUGUACAUGUCUGUGAUUAUAACGCUGCAGAGCUGCACCAUCCCAUAUGAAUAGCCACUAGCAACAUGUGCCUAUUUAAAUUAAAUAAAAUUAAAUUUAAAAAAUUCAGUACCUCUGUAAAACUAGCCACAUUUUAAAUGUUCAGUCGUGUUCACAUGAUGCUAGUAGCUACAUACUGAAUGGAGCAGAUAUAGAAUUUUCCCACCAUCACUAAAAACCUAGCGGAUAAUGCAGCUGCAGGGAUUUCCUUUGCCCUUAGGAUGCAGUUCAGAGUCCAUAAUACGGCUGAUAAAAUCCAGACCUGGCCCUUCCUGACCUCUGUCACUAUCUCUCUUCAUACCUCCCUUCAAACACUGUUCUCCAGGCAUGCUGAACUUCUUUUAGUUCCUUGAGUAUUCUUCGCUCUCUUGACCGGGUUUCCAGCAUACUUUGCUUCCCUCUAGAAUACCCUUGGUAGCAUCACCUGUCUUCUUCCAUUUUCAGCUUCAGAGUCACGUCCUCAGGUAUUUCUCCCUGAUGGGGAGGUUCUGCAGUGGGCAUCCUAUUCUUGCCCUACAUUAAAAGUAAUACUUUAAAAAAAAAUUCUGGCAUUUUAUUUAUUUAUUUUUUUAAUUUAUUUUUUAUUUUUUGUCUUUUUGCCAUUUCUUGGGCUGCUCCACGGCAUAUGGAGAUCAGCCUCAUUUCUGGUCCAUGACUAUGUGAAGACUGUCCUUCAAAUCCCUAACUGAAGGGUCAAAGGGUAUCAUCUCAAGUUGCCAUCAACAGAGGAUGCUUUAUAGAUGUGAGACAGGAAUCCACCGGUUAGGCUUAAAAGGCUCCCCUCCCUUACCCACUCUUUUUAUCCUCUGCCACCAUGUGCCUAAGAAUGACAUUCCAGUGUAGACCAUACAGCCAUCAGCGUGAGUGUAGACACAGAAUUCAGUGGGUUAGAUGGGCAGAAAGGAAGAAAAAGAGUGAGAGGCAGAAAACGAAUCCAGCAGCAGCAGGUAAGAAGUUAAGACUUACUGGUGUUUCAUAAAAAAAGCCUGAAUCAAGAAGUAGGUUUCCCAGCUGAGACCAGGCUCCUUGGAACAAGAGCAAAUGGAUGGCACAAAGGAGAUCUGGGGACCUCCUCACUUCCAGGUAAACAAACAUAAACUACAAAGCGAAAUCAGAAUGUGUGCCCCCAGGGUUUAUUCUACGAGUCUGUGCAGGCUUAAUAAAGAUAUCCAGGUCUAAUCCCCAGAAUCCGUGAAUGUUGCCUGAUGUGGCCAGAGAGACUUUGCCGUGGGAUUAAAUUUAGGCUCUUGAUGGGGAGAUUAUCUGGGAUUAUCCAGCUGGGACCUAAAUGCAAUCACAAGUGUCCUUCUAAGAGGGAAGCAGAGGGAGAUUUGACACAGAGUAAGAAGGAAUGUGACCAUUGAAGCAAGAUGCUGGCUUUUGAACGAGAGGAAGAGGCCUUGGGUUGAGGAAUGCAAAGAAUGCAGCUCUAGAAACCAAAAAAGGUAACAAAUGGAGUCUCCCCUAGAGCUUGCAAAGGGAGCCAGGAGCUGCCAGCAUCCUGAUUUGGGGCAUGUAAAACUGAUUUCUGACUUCUGACCCACCAAGUUCACUGUAAUUUGUUACAGCAGCCCUAAGAAACUAAUGCAGGUUUCUUUGGUUGUCCUGAUAAAAGACUUAGAAAUCUUAGCCAUUUUGAAAUGAAGUUGAUAGGGCCAUGUGGUAGGAGUCAAGAUUGUGACCCUAAAGACAGGGACCUGCUAUAUAGCACAGGGAACUCUUCCCAAUAUUCUGUGAUAAUUUAUAUAAGAAUCUGAAAAAGAAUGGAUGUGUGUAUAAGCAUAACUGAAAUUAUCAUAACAUUGUCAAUCAGCUAUACUUCAAUAAAACUUAAAAAAAAAAAAAAAAGAUUGCAGUCCUAAAGAAGGCAGGGGGCAGGACAGGGUGAUAUUCUGGGCAAAGACUGGCAUGUAGGUGGCUUACUGGGAGUGCUUUGGGGAAUAGCACUGCCUGGAGUGAGGGAAGCAGGCCUGGGCAGAAGGCAAAGUUGUACUUGGAGGCAGUGGCACAGAGGUCCUAGCCUAUUCCACAGGGAGCUCUGGAGAGACAGUGGCCCUGCAAACAUGCCCUGCAUUGAGCAAAGGGGCUCAUCCUUUUCACCCGUGACAAUGACAAGUCAUCAGAUGCAGGCUGUUCCUAGGUAAAGGGUUGUAAUCUCGAGUGAUUAUCAAAAAGUAAUCCCUGGGGAGGGACUCAGCGGUGGGCCACCCACAGGCAACACACCUGGCACCUGGGAGAGUACAUGCCUUGGUCCUGAGGUGGGGUCAGGGCAGCAAAUGCACCAUCCACUGCCCCGUGGGAGCAGCCCCCAACACAAUUUAAUCUGCUUAAAUCCCUGCUACAGAGACGUAUGGGAAAGUUUCCUAUUGACUCCAUCUCAUUCCUUCAGAGGCGCAGUCCAAGUCCUGAGUCUGUGUGAUUCUUUUGAGAAGCUUGCUGAAAGCAGCUCAGGGACACUUUGAGCAAAGAGGCUGACAUAACCCUAAGUGCUUUGGUCUUGGACUGAGGUUUGAAAAUAAACCUCCCCAUGGAAUAUUUGGAAAGCCUUCUGAGAAAGCCCCUGAAUAAAUACAUAACCCCUUGCGCUAUUGGUUGGAAUUGUUUUGGCCUGGUUUUCUGGGACUUGUACUGUGUCCUGGCUGAUAAAUGAAGCCAUGUGCAAAGCACAGGGAGCCCAGGGCCAAAACUUGUCCCCACCAUCACACCACACCAGGCACUAGCCAGCUCUGGCUUCAUACUCUGAUGCAGCGGUUCUAGGGCAACACAGAGUUGAGGGUGAUUUCCAGCGAGCCUGCCCUCUGGAGAGACCCACUGUCAGAAGAAAAACCUUAAACAAGCCACAGGCCUUUGAUUCCAGCUUUUGUUGCGCUAAAUCCUGCUAAAAGGCCUUACAGCACUCAGCUGCUUGAGUACUGCCCAGAGCAUAAUUUAGUGACUUGGAACCAUCCAGGGGCUCAGAGGCAUCACUCUGAAUUGACUGUGGUGUCUGAAGGUCUGGGGUCUGGUCUUCUUUCUGACAUUUCUUAACAGUGUGACCUUGGGUAAGGCUCUGCCAUCUGAACCUGCUUUCCUUCUGUGUAGCACAGGUGGCACAACAUUGUCUCAAAGGUUCUGUCCUGUCCUGCUACUCAGGGACUCUGUCUCCUUCAUGGGCAUGGGGGUUGCAGAGAAUGACAGGCAUUUGUACAGAUGCUGGCACAUCCUAAAAUCUCAGAAUUUGGGAGUAAAUUCAUGCCAUCAGAUUUCUUUCAAAUGGAUGAAUACAUGAAUAUAUCAUGCUUCCUGGCACUGGCUGCUUUUGCUCAAAAUCAGCAGCUUGGGAUUCAUUUGCAUCACCAAAACAGACCCCGUUCAUCAGCCUGUG
rnacentral:lncRNA from 1 species